rnacentral:rRNA from 1 species
UCGGUGGGGGAUGGGCUCGCGGCCUAUCAGCUUGUUGGUGGGGUAAUGGCCUACCAAGGCGUCGACGGGUAGCCGGCCUGAGAGGGCGACCGGCCACACUGGGACUGAGACACGGCCCAG